CAUCGCUCUGAUUGGUUUUAGGUCUAUCCAGUUGCGCCGAGGCAUUUGAGCGGCGUUUGUUGGUGACGCCACUUUUGGAAAUGGGCUGUGAAAGAACCUUCACCAGACCCAGUCUCAGUUACAGCUGAGAAGGGUCUGGUGUCAACCAGGCUAGCCAAGGCCAAGA